rnacentral:ncRNA from 1 species
AUAAUGGUACUUCCGUAACUCGCGGCCCGGUCACAAAGCAGACGGGGUGGCUGAAAUACCAAUGA